UUUCCAAGGUCAAACAUAGGCAAACUCUGUCAACAUGGGAUUAGUGCAAGCAUGGCUGAAAGCUAGAGCUAGCACUCAUCCUACUACUUUUCUCGAAGAGCAGGAAAGAAGGACCAAUACUAAAUGAGCAAAGAAGAGGUCUCUUGCCAUGACAGCUUGGUUCUUCUAUCUACUUGCUAUGCUUGAGUGUGCAGAGCAUACCGUGAGCAAGCACAUCUCCCCAUACACUCAGACUUUGAAAGAAUCAGUGCUGAGCAGCUCACCAGUGAACAUAACGCAGUAGGGCAUGAGCUAAGGCAACCGGGGGAGGCCAUGGAGCUGCUAAUAGCUGCCACUUACUGCAAGGGAGUGAGAACCAAUUCCAGGAGGCAAACUGAGGUAACGCCAGAUAGCUGCAAGGGAUCACUUCAUGAAUAAUGUAAUUUCAUCCCUCUGCACACAGAGUUAAAAUGCUUCUAAUUGUUACUGCACAGAUGGGACCAACAUCCUCUGUGGUUGGUUUGCUGCUCCC